rnacentral:lncRNA from 1 species
GGGGAGAGAGGAGACUCACCAGAUCCCAAGAGAGGAUUGCCCUUCCCAAAGGAGUAAGCAGCGUCUUUAUACAAAUGCAGAAUACACAGCACUGUAGUUGCGGACCUCGUGCGAUUUCGCCCCUCCCUGGCAGGACCCCCUGCUCCCGGGGUCCCCCCCCACACAUGAGCCACCCUCCCCUGCAUCCCUGGGACCCCCACCUUCUCCCCACUGCGCCCUGGGGGGGGGGAGGAAGAAGAGACUCACCAGAUCCCCGUGGAAGAGAGCAAGGCAGCAUCUGCAGCAGAGGAAAGCAACCCCCCCCCCCACACACACACACUUGCAGGAAGGGGAGGUUGGGGCUUUUCCUCUGGAGGACCUGGCCCCCCUUUUACUUCCUGUCCUCUCUAGGAAUGCAGCUCAGUUUCCUUUAACCCUUGCAAAGCCAAGUCCACCCUGCUGAGUCCUCUCUGCCUUUUCUCUCCUGCAUUGCACAAUCCCAGAGAUGCUCAUUUUGAGGGGACGCUCUUGGUUGGUCUGUGAUCUGCUCCCUCCCUUGGCCAGAAACUGGAGGAAGAGGUUGCAGGGAAAAGGGGUUUGCAGGAUGCAAGGAACCUCAUCCUAGAAUCCAGGAAUGGGAGCGAUAGAAGGGAGUCCUAGGGUCAUCUAGUCCAACCCCCUGCAGGGCAGGAAUCUGCAAAAGCAUCCCUGACAGAUGGCCUCUGCUCUGAAACUCCAAGGAAGAAGAGUUCCACCACCUUCUUACCUUCAGAAAGAUUUUCCAGCUGUUGAGUCAGAACCUUUUUCUUGCCACUUGAAGCCAUGGGUUUCGGUCCUACCCUGGGGAGCAGGAGAAAACUAGCUGUCUCUCAUGUCUCCCAUUCAGCUAGAUCACAGCUGAGGGUGGAGUAGGACACGCUGUUCCUGCCUCUCCUGGGAGUGAAGAUGAAAUGUCCCUGUUGAUUUUUAGUUGCAUUUAAGAUACUUAAAUUGUGGCACCCAGAACUGAACACAGUACAGUGGUACCUCGGGUCUAGUACUUAAUUCGUUCCAGAGGUCCGUUCUUAACCUGAAACUGUUCUUAACCUGAAGAACCACUUUAGCUAAUGGGGCCUCCUGCUGCUGCCGUGCUGCCGGAGCAAGAUUUCUGUUCUCAUCCUGAAGCAAAGUUCUUAACCUGAAGUAUUAUUUCUGGGUUAGCGGAGUGUGUAACCUGAAGUGUAUGUAACCUGAAGCGUAUGUAACCCGAGGUACCACUGUAUUCCAGGUGUGGUCUGACCAAGGCAGACUAGAGUGGUUCUGUGACUCCCCUGAGAUGCCUCCCACUUUUCUUUGUUGCUGAAAUUGUCUGCGUUUGUGCCUUUCAUAUUUCUCCUUGGGGAAACUGCCAUCCAUCCUGGACUCUCUUCUCUUGGAGUCUUUCUGACCAUUGGAUCUCACCCCGUAGCUCCUUCAGCUUUUUGAAAUUGGCAUUCUGGGAGUCUAUAGCAUGUGUCCGACUACAAUGUUUGAUGUAUUAUAGUAUUUUAAUAUUCUUUUGGAAGCCGCCCAGAGUGGCCGGGGAAGCCCAGCCAGAUGGGCGGGGUAUAAAUAAUAAAUUAUUAUUAUUAUUACACUCAGCUUUCCCUUCCCUCUGUAUUGUGAAACCUAGGAGGACCCAGACCUUCCUCUUCCUGCCUGUGCAUGCAUUGCUCACUAUUUAUAUAAAAAAAUACAGCAGAAAUUUCUAUCCCUUUUGAUCUGGCGGAGUUUUGAUGAAGCCUCCAAAGGAACAUCGGAAGCUGCCUGAACUCUAAGAUCAUCUUCUGAGGCCCUUCUUCAUAUGCCGCCUCCUCGAGAAGUCCAGAGGGUGGCAACAUGAGAUUGGGGCCUUCUCUGCAGUGG